CAGGCUGAAACGAAAUUCAGCAUCCACUCACAGAAGAGGAGUGUGGUCUUGGAGAAGAGUACAAAAUGACCAAAAGGCUGAGUCAGCAAAUACGUACGGAUGUUGACGUUGCUAAAGUUCUUGGGAGGAGAAUCAGAAAUGGUAAAUGUUUAAAGAGAGUGACUCUGUAAAGCUUAAUUCAACUCAAUAACAUAGUGCUAACAACACAGCAGCCAAUACUUCAGAGGUUCAAUGGCAAUAGCAUUUUAGUGGAGUUCUACAUUCUGUGAUAAUUCUCUAUCACAGCUACUGGUUUGAGUCUAUACUUCCAGCAUUCUUAUACAAUUUUCAUCUGUGGUAACAUUGUUUAGAAUAAAAGCUCAGUGAUUCUUUAUUUUAAUGUUGGCUAGAUAUUACUUUGACAAAACUCAGCCCCAUGAUGGGAUGAUGAUAAAAUAUCUUGAACUCAUUUCUUUCAUGUUCUCCUAAUUUAUUUGUGCAGAGAAAGAAGGAAGACCUUGUGCAAAAAAUGGCUACUCCAGAAAGAAGAGACUUAGUAAUUGUAAGAAAUCCUCAUUCCCAGGGAGGCUUAGUAGCUCUGGGUCUACAGAAUUGACAAAUUACCAGUAAAUGUUCAGCUGGGAGAUGGUGAACUUACAGCUGUACCAGUAACUUGGUUAAGAGCAGGACAUGAAGGAAUUUGCAUAAUUUGAAAAAAGUCCCAUAAAGUAGCAAAAAUGAUUGCAAUUUAACAGGUCACAUUCAUGAAACAAAUGGGAAACAAAGUAGUUUAUAUGAUACUGGAUGAAUUUUCAGCUGACUUGUAAAUAUAUUUUUAAGGUAUUUCAAGUGUAAAGAUGGAUACUUAUUCUCUAAAAAGCACUUAAGUGGUCUGUGUUCCUUCUAUGAUCUGAAAUCACCCUUUGUGUUAAAUGUUUAGUUU
rnacentral:lncRNA from 13 species